UACAGAGGUCUCAAGCGUUGUUCGGAUUCAUUGGGCGUAAAGGGUGCGUAGGCGGCGCGGUAAGUCGGGUGUGAAAUCUCGGAGCUUAACUCCGAAACUGCAUUCGAUACUGCCGUGCUUGAGGACUGGAGAGGAGACUGGAAUUUACGGUGUAGCGGUGAAAUGCGUAGAUAUCAAGAGGAACACCAGUGGCGAAGGCGAGUCCCUGGACGAUACCUGACCACUGAGGCACGAAAGCCAAGGGAGCAAACAGG
rnacentral:rRNA from 1 species